GAGACAGCAGCCGCCACGGGAAUACGUAGGGCGCAAGCGUUAUCCGGAAUUAUUGGGCGUAAAGAGCUCGUAGGCGGUUUGUCGCGUCUGCCGUGAAAGUCCGGGGCUCAACCCCGGAUCUGCGGUGGGUACGGGCAGACUAGAGUGAUGUAGGGGAGACUGGAAUUCCUGGUGUAGCGGUGAAAUGCGCAGAUAUCAGGAGGAACACCGAUGGCGAAGGCAGGUCUCUGGGCAUUAACUGACGCUGAGGAGCGAAAGCAUGGGGAGCGAACAGGAUUAGAUACCCCCGUAGUCCCUGUCUCUUAUAC
rnacentral:rRNA from 1 species